rnacentral:sRNA from 1 species
GAAAAUAAUGGGUUUUGAUUGCAUAUGGAAUCUCUUCCCCCUUCCCAUUAUUAGACUUGAAUUUU